AUGAGUUUGUGUGCAUUGUGGAUUUUCGUGGUGGUGAUUUGGGCAGUAACGAAUGUGGAGAUGGCCAGUUUGGAGAGCAGCAGCCCUGGACUUCAGAGUAUCCAGGCCUUACACUGUCCACCCUGUGGGCGCAUCCACUGCUCACCCCGCAGAGCCCUGAAGCUCCAGUGUAAAGGUGGUGUCACCACAGGCGUAUGUGGCUGCUGCCCCACAUGUGCCAAACUAGCUGGUGAGAGCUGUGGAGGGACAUGGGAUUACCUGGGCAAGUGUGAUGAAGGACUGGUGUGCAUGUACCAGGACACCAGUGACAGCAAACCAGAGGGAGAACACACAGGUAUCUGCAAGUCAGUACUCGAAGUCCUCGAAAAGGACACAUGUCGACCAGACUGCACAUGGGAAUUCUGUCAGGCGCACCCCAAUGAAAUAUGCUCAGCCAGGUCUGUGUCUCUGGAGAAGCGUGAGUGCGGAGGUUUCUGUCAGCACACCACUUGUUCCAGCUGUUUGGUUCUGAGGCGUCCGACGUGUCAUCAGGCCUGCGCUCAAACAGACCACGUCUGCCUUCAUCGCUUCGGGAGGUGUGUGCACGGCUACCUGGAAGCACAGAAACCUGCAGUCUGCCACCAGAAUCUACAGAACAACAACGAGGGAUACUUUGUGUGUUUGGCCCCUGCCUGCCCACACACAGCAAACUGACACAUCUGCGGAGGAACUGCUCCAAAAGGAUCCAAGCUAAAAUGUAGCACAUUUAAAGCAGCUAUUUUUGAAAUGUUGUAACCUUUUAAUACUUGUUCUAAAAACAUUGCAGUUAAAGAGAAUUGUUCUCUACAGUUGAAUUUUUUCAAAGUUUUCAAAUUAAAUGG
ensembl:lncRNA